rnacentral:rRNA from 1 species
CUACGGGUUGCUGCAGUGAGGAAUAUUGCACAAUGGGGGGAACCCUGAUGCAGCAACGCCGCGUGGAGGAUGACGCAUUUCGGUGUGUAAACUCCUUUUAUAUGUCAAGAAAAUGGCGGUAGCAUAUGAAUAAGCACCGGCUAACUCCGUGCCAGCAGCCGCGGCAAUACGGAGGGUGCAAGCGGUUACUCGGAAUCACUGGGCGUAAAGGACGCGUAGGCGGGUUGGAAAGUCAGGUGUGAAAUCCUACAGCUUAACUGUAGAACUGCACUUGAAACUUCUAAUCUAGAGUAUGGGAGGGGGAGAUGGAAUUAGUGGUGUAGGGGUAAUAUCCGUAGAUAUCACUAGGAAUACCUAAAGCGAAGGCGAUCUCCUGGAACAUUACUGACGCUAAGGCGUGAAAGCGUGGGGAGCAAACAGGAUUAGAUACCCGAGUAGUC